rnacentral:tmRNA from 1 species
GGGGGCGUUCAGGCUUCGACAGGAAUAAUAGAAGUUUAAAUUGCAAGUCGUAUUGUACUGCGUUAAAGGCUAAAAAUAAAAUAACUGGAAACAGCUAUAGAAAUGCUGUAGCAUACGCUUAAUUUAAGGUAAAGCUACAGGUUCCUCUAUUUCUUUGCUUACGGGGAAUAACAGGGACUUAUACAGUAAGCUAUAUUAUUAGUAAUUACUAUAGCUAAUAAUGAAUAUAAUAGUAUAGAUAUAUAACCUUUUGUUAGUUAAUGAUUAUAUAUUGAAAUUAAAUAACUAACUAAACUUGUAGAUAUUUAAGUGGCUAUAUUUUUGGACAGGGGUUCGAUUCCCCUCGCCUCCACCA